UGGAAUGCCGUCUGAACCCUUCGGGGGGACGACGGUGGAAUGAGCGGCGGACGGGUGAGUAACACGUAAAGAACCUGCCCAUAGGUCUGGGAUAACCACGAGAAAUCGGGGCUAAUACCGGAUGUGUCAUCGGACCGCAUGGUCCGCUGAUGAAAGGCGCUCCGGCGUCGCCCAUGGAUGGCUUUGCGGUGCAUUAGCUAGUUGGUGGGGUAACGGCCCACCAAGGCGACGAUGCAUAGCCGACCUGAGAGGGUGAUCGGCCACACUGGGACUGAGACACGGCCCAGACUCCUACGGGAGGCAGCAGUAGGGAAUCUUCCACAAUGGACGAAAGUCUGAUGGAGCAACGCCGCGUGAACGAUGAAGGCUUUCGGGUCG
rnacentral:rRNA from 1 species